rnacentral:rRNA from 1 species
UAGGGAAUCUUCCGCAAUGGGCGCAAGCCUGACGGAGCAACGCCGCGUGAGUGAAGAAGGUUUUCGGAUCGUAAAGCUCUGUUGCCAGGGAAGAACACCUUGUAGAGUAACUGAUACAAGGGUGACGGUACCUGAGAAGAAAGCCCCGGCUAACUACGUGCCAGCAGCCGCGGUAAUACGUAGGGGGCAAGCGUUGUCCGGAAUUAUUGGGCGUAAAGCGCGCGCAGGCGGUUUAAUAAGUCCAGUGUAUAAGAGCGGGGCUCAACCCCGUUUGGCACUGGAAACUGUUGGACUUGAGUACAGAAGAGGAGAGUGGAAUUCCACGUGUAGCGGUGAAAUGCGUAGAGAUGUGGAGGAACACCAGUGGCGAAGGCGACUCUCUGGGCUGAGACUGACGCUGAGGCGCGAAAGCGUGGGGAGCAAACAGG